rnacentral:rRNA from 1 species
GCUCCUACGGGACGCAGCAGUGGGGAAUCUUGCGCAAUGGGCGAAAGCCUGACGCAGCGACGCCGCGUGAGUGAUGAAGGCCUUCGGGGUGUAAAGCUCUGUGGGGAGAGAAGAAUUAGUGCGGGCUAAUACUCCGCAUGAUGACGGUAUCUCCUUAGCAAGCACCGGCUAACUCUGUGCCAGCAGCCGCGGUAAGACAGAGGGUGCAAACGUUGUUCGGAAUUACUGGGCGUAAAGCGUGUGUAGGCGGCCAUGUAAGUUGGAUGUGAAAGCCCCGGGCUCAACCCGGGAAGUGCAUUCAAGAC